rnacentral:lncRNA from 1 species
AUAUUCAAAUUUUAAGUUUGGCUUAUUUUUUAUUUGGAAUAUGGAUUUAGUAAUAUAUCAGAAUAUAUACAUGAGCAUUGAAGCAACAGUUAAUUGACUUAAAAAAUCCAAAAUAAUGUAGGGGCAUGAGUAAACACAAAAACACAUUUUGGCCAUCAACUGAUACAUAGAGAAUUACAGAGUCACUACAUGUACUUAUACAAUCUUGCAAAAUUCAUAAAUUGGUGGAUGAAACAGUAGGUUUGAAUUUUCUAAUUAUGAUUCAAUUGUAUUACAAUUUUGAAUUUCAAAAGUCUGAGAAAAUAUCAAGUAGGCCAUUUUCCAAAAAUAGAAUUAGUACAAUGUCACAAGUGAAAAGAAGAUGUGAAAGAAAUUUUCAAUUUAUCAAUUGUUUCAGGGCAACUCUGCCAUAUGUCACAUCCAUGGUUACAACGUCAACAUUACCUUUUGUGUGGGAUGGCCCAAAUACCUCAGAAGUUUCACAGCUGGCGAUAGAUCUGGGCAAUGAAGCAGUACGGGGGAAAAUCUUCAGCGAAACCCUCACACCGAAGACCGGCUGUUAAGUAACAGCCAACUUUGACAUGAGUGACAUGCUAAAGUACUUCAGUUGCCUGGUUGUUCUGUAUGUUGAAAAAAGUACAAAAACUAAAGUAGGCCCUGCCCCAGGGAUUACUUGAUUGUACAUUGGAAAAUCUUCCAAACAAUUUCUAAAAAUCAUCAGUAUUACUCAGAUCUUAAACCUUGCUGGGCGCUAUGGUUAUAUGAAGUUGGUGAAUGAGUACGUUCAUGAAACGAUGGUUCCAUAUUACACGGUGGCGAU